CAGCCGCCGCGGUAAUACGGAGGGGGCUAGCGUUGUUCGGAAUUACUGGGCGUAAAGCGCACGUAGGCGGCUUUGUAAGUUAGAGGUGAAAGCCUGGGGCUCAACUCCAGAAUUGCCUUUAAGACUGCAUCGCUUGAACGUCGGAGAGGUGAGUGGAAUUCCGAGUGUAGAGGUGAAAUUCGUAGAUAUUCGGAAGAACACCAGUGGCGAAGGCGGCUCACUGGACGACUGUUGACGCUGAGGUGCGAAAGCGUGGGGAGCAAACAGGAUUAGAUACCCGUGUAGUCCCUGUCUCUUAUAC
rnacentral:rRNA from 1 species